AAAUGUCUGAACUAUGGAUAACAUAGACGACUAUAUAGGAGGAAGACAAUGUUGAUGCAAGGAUUGUUAGAUCGUUAUGAGAUACUGUCCGCUCUCAUCUUAUCCAAGAGCUCACAUCGACGGGAAGGUUUGGCACCUCGAUGUCGGCUCUUCGCCACCUGGCGCUAUGAGGGCUUGACGAGACUGCCCUCAUGGUUCUGUCUGAAAAAAGUUAGUCAGAUGGGAAGUGUAAUCUUUAUAAAAUUAUAGUCCAAUCCCUUCCCGAUUAGAUAUGGGAUCGCUUUCACCAUCAAUACUAGCACCCUAAUUUGGACUGUGUUAAAUUUCUUCUAGGAGACAACUGCGAAAUCCCU
rnacentral:lncRNA from 1 species